CUCCCAGGUUCUGCCUCUGCCCACAACAUGCUGAGAGCACCAAGCCAGGCUUAGGGGGCCCCUGGAUCCAGAGAGCAGGGGACAAACCCGGAGUAGAUGGCCCUGUGUCCUGUCCUGCCAGCCAGCUAAGGUUGAAAGCCUGAUCUGCGGCCACCAUGGACAAUGAGGAGGGUUUAAGGAUGAAGGCUGAUGGGAAGGUCUGAAUGCAGGGCCUGCUCUUCUGCUUCCCCUCGUAGCCAGCCUCCCUCUCGCUGACUCCCGACGUCUGGAUAUUGAAAACACCCUCAGCCUGGUUCCCUCA